UUGAUUUUAAUUAUUUGUGAAGGUACUCCUAAUUAACAACAAUUUUAUAAUCAAAACAAAAAAAUCA
rnacentral:misc_RNA from 1 species